UCAUGACAUUUAUUUUGGUUUCCAGUAGUCCUGUGUGAUUUUGCAAAUUCUGGUAUCAAUCUGAUACCAAUCAAAUACAAGGCCAGUAUUGCCGAUCCAAACACAAGUACUGAUAUUUUAACCUGUAAUCGCAGCAUAUUUAGGGGAGAGCAGUGUGUGAGACACUUGUUCAGACUAGAAUGAGAGAGCUUCUGUAAUAAAACUGUUCGGGGCACACCACCAUUUUGAGAUCCGCGGCAACGUGUCAUGCAGGAUGCAUCUCCCUUCUAGAAGUAUUGUGAAAAGAAAUGGUGUUAAUGGUCUACUGAGCAGUGUUUUGUCUUCCAUCGGAUGCCUCUGAGGAAUCAAAAGAACUCUGAAGUGUUGAUAUUUAACACAUGAUUUAUAAGAAAUCCUCAGUUUACAAAUUCUAAACACAUUUUAAUGACCACUAAAUCUCAUUGUUUCCUUUUAAUAAACAGUUUAACACAAUUCAGUGAACUUAGUAUCAGAUCGAUACUCUUUUCCAUCUAUGCGGGUGUAGUAUUAACAUUUAGAUGGAUCUGCCCACCUAGAGUUUCCAGAGAAGCUUUGUUGCCACUCAGUCCAAUCUUGCUUUGAGGAGAGUGGUUUCCACCAUCACGUAGAAAGCCACCACCCUUUCUCCGCCUACCUCCACAUCUUCCUGUCUGCUGGAGGUCUCCAGAGAGCAUCAGGUAUUCCUCUGAAUCUCCCGGACUUUCCAGGCUGAAACGCAGACCGUCUGAUGGGAGUUGUCCGGUCACACUCUGUUGGUCACACCUGCCCUCGGUUCAUCCAUCAUGUCGCACGCAGACGUUUGUAAUUAACACACAGGAAAGAGUCAGUUUACAUGCCUCAAUUAGCACAAUGGAUAGAUGAAGGUUUUACAUGUGAAACCGAACCCUGAUCUGUGAAAUAAAGCGGACCAUUUGUACUUAGUCACUUCUGUGACUUCUCCUACUACUUCUGGUAAAGGUACAGUGGUCAUGGCAGAGGCUGUUUUUUGUUUGGGGUUUUCAUUUGUUCCAAAAAAAUUAAAAAAUAGGCGAUACAACUCCCACAAUGUCUCCUUUAAUGCUGAGUGACCGUCGCCGGGUACAAAGGCUCACUCUGGUUACAAGAAACCUUCAGAUGAGAACACGUUUGAAAGGGUUAAGCUUAUUUCUAUGUUCAUGUUACAUCCUUUCCAGUAGCAUUUCACCGACUUUGUGAGACACACUCCAACAAUACACAUAAAGCAAUGGUUACGAUGUUACAAUGCAAUAUUAACUUAAAGGAAUCCAAAUUAACUGAUUUUAGCCCAUUUUAUUGGUUACAAUUAACACCACCUUUGCUGUCACUACUAUUAUCAGUAUUAAGUCAUUACUUCAGCUACUCAUAGCUGUAGGAAUCAUUAGAAAACUAAUAAUGCAUUUUAUGUAGUCUUUGGAAUAAACAAAUGGUCAUACAGUUGACAUGAUUAACGGUUACAAAAUGACAUCAUUUUCACACUAAAAGUAAGGUAAGGAAAUGAGUCACUUAAAGAACUGUAUCUCUCAUAUAUUGUGUUUCAUAUUCUAAUUAUGACUUUUUUUUAAGUGACUGAUUCAUUUCCUUAACUUGCUUUCAGUGUGAAAAUGAUAUAUAAUAUAAUAUACUCUGCAUUCUCUUGCAGUGGAAACAAUUGAGUAUAAUUUCAAUCAGAUGUUGUUUUAUGUAUAAAAUUUGAGAAAACUGAGUCCAAUAAUUAUUUUACUAAGGAUGUUUGGUUAUUAUCUGUAUGUGUUAAAGCCUGAUCUACAAUAACCGUUCAUGAGAUUAAAUUAAAAGUGCACCUUUAGUUAUUUACGACACUCUUAUGCCCCGUUUUUUUAACCCAAACAGAAUUGAGUAGGUUUUAGUUGUGGAGAUUUAACCAUCCACCAAAACAAAGUGAAGGAGAAUAAAAUUUCUUGUGUAGGCUCACAGCAUUAAAAAAAAAGGGGAAAAAAGUAGAAUUAAUACCAACAUCUUCUCGUCCUGGAUAAUCCAGAUUUUUCCACAGUUUUAUUUUUUAAGCACCAUAGACGUGUUUUCACUGAAAAUAAAGUCAAUUUGUUUGAAAGAUAUGAAUCUGACUUUUUAAAAAUCACAUCAGCACCUCAAAGUAAAACCUACAUGCUCUUAAACUUUUAUUUUUUAAUCCAAAUAAUCUGAUCCUUUAUAAAAUAUGAAAAUAUGUUAAUUUACAGUCACUACAGGAUAGAAAAUGAAUGUAUUUAAGCCAUAAAUAUGUACUUAUAAAUAAAACAAUGUAUAAAAACAUAUGGCUGUCUCAUGAUAAAUGAAAGCAUUUGAAUCAGAGUUUAAAUACACUGAGGUUGUGCUUACUGUACAACAAUUUUAAACAGAAAAAGCACAUAAAAGUGAACUUUUACACCAAUUGUUGGUGUUUUUUUGUUUGCCUAGAAUGCAUUUUAAAUAAAGAAAACCAGCUGCCGUCUUUGUGCAGAGGGCGAGAGGCGAGUUGGGGCAGUGGGAGUGGAUAAAGGAAGGAAAGGAGGAGUUUUGACUCAGGAGAAGUGAAAGUGAAAUGAAUCUGUGGAGUAUUUAAAGAGGAAGUUUGGAGUCCCAGAGCUGUUGGCAGACGGGACUGCAGAGGACGACGCAGUGCUCAGACGCGCAGUCAUGCUGACCUGAGCCCAGCCCUGCUGAAACCCUCUGUUUGUGGGUGGGAUUGUAACGGAACCCAUAAUGCAGCUGUGAUUCUGAGCCCCAGCUGGUUAUGGGGUCCGUUUCCAUCCCACGGCGCACAAGACAUCCCCCGACCCAUCAGCCCGGUGGGGCGUCCUCCUUCCUUCCACACAGACAUUACGCUUCAACACUGCAGGUCACCUUGAAAUGUUUUUCAGACAGAAUUCAUGUCACGUCAGUUCAAAACUCUCACAUGAAGAACAAAAACCAUGUUUAAAAAGUAAAAGUAAAACACCAGCGGCUGCAAAGAACGCUAGAAAAGCAUCUGGAGUAAAAAUACCAAGCUGAGCGAGUCACAAAGAAAACCCAUUUUUGAUAACAGCUACUGUCUCGCUGCUCACCACCACGGCCCACGCAGGGCAGACCUGUGGUUUUGUUUCUGUUGAAUCAGUGAAGAAAGUGAAACUAACGCCUGUAAGGUCAUGUAACACUCUGUCGCCGGUCUGCAAAAGCGAUAUAUGACGGUUCAUGACUGACUGAUGCAGAGGUGUUUUUCCUCAAUGACACGUUUUCUCCCGGAUUGCUGCGAGCAGGAAACGCAACCGGGAAUUUCGUGUCAGCCAAGAAUGACACCUGAAACAGCAACUGAGGAGCCAGCUGCAAAUGCUUUUGGAAUUUCAAUAUUUAAAAUGUGUGUAGUUGUUUUUUUGUUUUUUUUAACUAAUUGUAUUGCUAAACAGGUAUUUCUAAUAAACCUCAAACUUUAAACUGACA